rnacentral:rRNA from 1 species
UACGUAGGGGGCUAGCGUUGCUCGGAAUCACUGGGCGUAAAGCGCACGUAGGCGGACUCUUAAGUCAGGGGUGAAAUCCUGGAGCUCAACUCCAGAACUGCCUUUGAUACUGGGAGCCUUGAGUUCGGGAGAGGUGAGUGGAACUGCGAGUGUAGAGGUGAAAUUCGUAGAUAUUCGGAGGAACACCAGUGGCGAAGGCGGCUCACUGGCUCGGUACUGACGCUGAGGUGCGAAAGCGUGGGGAGCAAACAGG